ACUCUCGGCAACGGAUAUCUCGGCUCUCGCAUCGAUGAAGAACGUAGCGAAAUGCGAUACUUGGUGUGAAUUGCAGAAUCCCGUGAACCAUCGAGUCUUUGAACGCAAGUUGCGCCUGAAGCCAUUAGGCUAAAGGCACGUCUGCCUGGGCGUCACGCAUCGC
rnacentral:rRNA from 13 species